UUAGAGUUUGAUCCUGGCUCAGGACGAACGCUGGCGGCGUGCCUAAUGCAUGCAAGUCGAACGCAGCAGCUUCGGCUGGCUGCGUGGCGAACGGCUGAGGAACACGUGGGUAACCUGCCCCGGAGUGGGGGAUACCCCGUCGAAAGACGGGAUAAUCCCGCAUACGCUCUACGGAGGAAAGCUCAUUCGAGCGCUCCGGGAGGGGCCUGCGGCCCAUCAGGUAGUUGGUGUGGUAACGGCGCACCAAGCCACUGACGGGUACCCGGUCUGAGAGGACGACCGGGCAGACUGGGACUGCGACACGGCCCAGACUCCUACGGGAGGCAGCAGCAAGGAAUUUUCCCCAAUGGGCGCAAGCCUGAGGGAGCAACGCCGCGUGGAGGACGACGGCCUUCGGGUUGUAAACUCCUUUCGGGUGGGACGACUCCGACGGUACCACCAGAAGCAGCCCCGGCUAACUCUGUGCCAGCAGCCGCGGUAAGACAGAGGGGGCAAGCGUUGUCCGGAGUUACUGGGCGUAAAGGGCGCGGAGGCGGCCUGCGGCGUCGGCGCUGAAAGCGCCCCGCUUAACGGGGCGAGGCGUGCCGAUACGCGCAGGCUCGAGGCGAGCAGAGGGUGGUGGAAUUCCGGGUGGAGCGGUGAAAUGCGUAGAGAUCCGGAGGAACGCCAGUGGGGAAGCCGGGCACCUGGGCUCGGCCUGACGCUGCGGCGCGACAGCGUGGGGAGCAAACC
rnacentral:rRNA from 1 species